AACUUUUGGCAAUGGAUUACUCGGCUCUCGUGUCGAUGAAGAGCGUAGCGAAUUGCGAAAAGUCAUGCGAUUUGCACCCCUCGUGAAUCAUUGAAUCCUUGAACGCAGCCUGCACCUUUCGGGUCUUCCGGAGGUCAGUCUGUUUGAGUGUGAUUUUCACUUGAUGGUCCGCCUGAAAGGGUUGAUCGUCGGAAUGCAUGGGUCCUUGGCGUUGCAGACGCACAUCUCGGGUUGCAAGACACUUGAUGGGCAGAGGCGACAGAAAGGCUUUUGGUUGACAGCUGGAAGGCUGUUGGCUGACCAAGGGUGUGUGCGGGAGUCUUUCGGGACACUCGCCGAGACACUUGCCUCACAGCAAGUGUCCCCACCCUUUCAAACCCACCUCAAAUCAGACUGGAUUACCCGCUGAACUUAAGCAUAUCAAUAAGCGGAGGC
rnacentral:misc_RNA from 1 species